rnacentral:rRNA from 1 species
AGUGAACGCUGGCGGUAGGCCUAACACAUGCAAGUCGAACGGCAGCACAGUAAGAGCUUGCUCUUACGGGUGGCGAGUGGCGGACGGGUGAGGAAUACAUCGGAAUCUACUUUUUCGUGGGGGAUAACGUAGGGAAACUUACGCUAAUACCGCAUACGACCUACGGGUGAAAGCAGGGGAUCUUCGGACCUUGCGCGAUUGAAUGAGCCGAUGUCGGAUUAGCUAGUUGGCGGGGUAAAGGCCCACCAAGGCGACGAUCCGUAGCUGGUCUGAGAGGAUGAUCAGCCACACUGGAACUGAGACACGGUCCAGACUCCUACGGGAGGCAGCAGUGGGGAAUAUAGGACAAUGGGCGCAAGCCUGAUCCAGCCAUACCGCGUGGGUGAAGAAGGCCUGCGGGUUGUAAAGCCCUUUUGUUGGGAAAGAAAAGCAGCAGGUUAAUACCCCGCUGUUCUGACGGUACCCAAAGAAUAAGCACCGGCUAACUUCGU